UUCACAGAUAGCCAGUCGAGAUAGGUGCUU
rnacentral:piRNA from 1 species